GGGGGUGACAUGGAUUCGACCAUUAGUCGUAGAGAAACAUGGCAUGUCGAAGAUGACGGUUGGCUUCGUAAAAAUCCGUUAGAAUCAUAAAUGACAAAAACAUUAUGAAAUUGAACUUCAAAAAUGAAGUUGCAUUAGCUGCUUAGUUAUAAAAGCGGCGCAUCCUCCGUGUGAUGCUUGAUGGCGCGGUUGGAUGUGUUUAUCAAGCGGGUGUUGCGAGCAUUUGCAGCGGACGCGACGCUCUAUCAACGCUGCAAUAGGUACUUUUGGCAUGCUGACAUGCUGAGAUGUUGCCGAAGAUUAAAAAUCAGCUAAACAUGUAGAGGUGUUUUUCGAAAAUCAGUGGGACGCGGGUUCAACUCCCGCCACCUCCACCA
rnacentral:tmRNA from 1 species